UACGGGGGGGGGCAAGCGUUGUUCGGAAUUACUGGGCGUAAAGGGCGCGUAGGCGGCCUGCUAAGUCGAACGUGAAAUCCCCGGGCUCAACCCGGGAACUGCGUCCGAUACUGGUUGGCUUGAAUCCGGGAGAGGGAUGCGGAAUUCCAGGUGUAGCGGUGAAAUGCGUAGAUAUCUGGAGGAAUACCGGUGGCGAAGGCGGCAUCCUGGACCGGCAUUGACGCUGAUGAGCGAAAGCUAGGGGAGCAAACGGG
rnacentral:rRNA from 1 species